AUAGCACCGAUAAAACGCAAGGAAUUUGAAGAAAUUUCCCUCUUGAGGACUUGUAAAAUCAAAAAGGUCUAUAGUAGACACGUCACACUCGUUUAUCUUGUCUGUAAGGGAUAAACAUUCAAUAUUUACUUCUAGUUUAUAGCUUGGUUUGCACCUAGACUAUAUUUAACAUGUAUUAAUCGCUUCUUGUCAAUCAGUCGACCUGGUGGUGAUCGAAUUUAUGGAGUUUUUGACA